rnacentral:lncRNA from 1 species
GCCAUUCGAUAUGGGGCUUUGGAAAUAGGUUUUGUACCAGGUUCAAGGUCGAUACAAAAUUUAAUUUCACGCUCUGGGAGUAGGCCAGGAAGUUCUUCAGGGAAUACGUCAGGAAAUUCAUUAACAAUAGAAAUAUCAUUCAAAACUGACGUAUUUUUGUUUAGAUCCGUGACAUGAGCUAAGAAAGCUUGACAUCCGUUUUUCAAUAAACG